UUAAUACUGACAUUGCGCUCUCAGCCCAGUCAGGUGUUCCAUAUUUGUGACAUCAGACAAUGCCCCUAGAAUGGCUACUACAGUGGUGCAUUCACUAUGUAGCUGAGAACACCCUCUCAAACUCAGUAUUAGAAACAGUUCUCAAGACUACCAUGUGCAAGAUGGAGAUCAGCACUGGGAGAAGAAAACACUUUUAGCAAGACAAGGUUUUCCUAUCGAGAGCUCUCUUGUCCAACAGAGAACAGCAUUUCCUAAGCUGUCCGGAUUACUCUGUAUGGAGGCAGAAAAUGCUUAAGAUUUCACUGUGAAGAGCAGUAAGAAAGUAGGAAUCACACGGCAGAAAUGUACCUUUCAGGCAGCUUUGUUUCAACUAUUUUUAUAAAUAAGCUUCUCCUAAUUUUGGAGCUACCACAUCCCUAGCUGUUGGAUGACAGCUCACAGCCCCAGAGGUCAUCAACCCACCAAGAAAGAAGGUUCCUGAAAUAGUGAUGAUACUGUGAAUUCUGAUCCAUUGGAGGACAAUCUCUUGAGAAAACAGGCUGCACUAAAACAUAAACACACCAUUGAAGAAAUCAGACUACGAAUGUCAGCGUUCAUUUGAUGUUUCUGGAAGUCAAGGAAAGUAUCCAAUUAAAAAAUAAGUCAAACACUGCUUCUUUUUCAUGUUCAGCAAGCAUACAAUAAUUAAUGGCACAGCAGCUUACCUGGGCUGGGGCUCUUUCUUGAACUUAGGCUCUGAGCAU